rnacentral:rRNA from 1 species
GUCGAGUGCACGUCCCGGUAGCAAUACCGGGAUGGCGCACGGCGCACGGGUGCGUAACACGUGGGCAAUCUGCCCUCCGAUGGGGAAUAACUCCGGGAAACCGAAGCUAAUUCCGCAUAACAUUCCCUGGACUCCGGUUCGGGGAUUCAAAGCAGCAAUGCGUCGGAGGAGGAGCCCGCGCCCGAUUAGCUAGUUGGUGAGGUAACGGCUCACCAAGGCCAUGAUCGGUAGCUGGUCUGAGAGGAUGGCCAGCCACACUGGAACUGAGACACGGUCCAGACUCCUACGGGAGGCAGCAGUGGGGAAUCUUGCGCAAUGGGCGAAAGCCUGACGCAGCGACGCCGCGUGGGGGAUGAAGCUUUUCGGAGUGUAAACCCCUUUCGACCGGGACGAAUGCCCGCAAGGGAGUGACGGUACCGGUAGAAGAAGCCCCGGCUAACUACGUGCCAGCAGCCGCGGUAAGACGUAGGGGGCCAGCGUUGUUCGGAAUUACUGGGUGUAAAGGGUUCGUAGGCGGUGUGGCAAGUCGGGAGUGAAAUUUCUGGGCUUAACUCAGAGGCUGCUUCCGAAACUGCUGUGCUCGAGUGUGGGAGAGGCGCGUGGAAUUGCAGGUGUAGCGGUGAAAUGCGUAGAUAUCUGCAGGA